AGGAGGAACAACCACGGUGGCGGCGGCUGCUCUGGAGCCCUGGAUUCAGCCCCCACAGGAACCCUGAAGCACUCCGUCUGCAGGGCCUGGAGGCUCCGGGUCGGG
rnacentral:pre_miRNA from 1 species